rnacentral:lncRNA from 1 species
UAACUGGAUCAAGAUGAAAGAAUCUUGGGGCCCCUGGUGGCUCAGUCAGUUAAGUGUCUACCUUCAGCUCUGGUCAUGAUCCUGGGCUCCUGGGAUUGGCCUGCAUCAGGCUCCCUGCUCAGCAGACAGUCUGCUUCUCCCUCUCCCUCUGCCCUCCGCCACCAUGCUCUCUCUAUCUCUGUCUCUCUUUUUCUCUCAAGUAAAUAAACAGAAUUUUUAAAACAUAGAUGAGUCUUUUAUCCAAUUAAUUCAACUUAUCAAUGGUCAAGUGCUUUUGAAUUCCUAUAAGGCAGAGUACAUCAGACAGUAUCCAUUUGCAUAGAAUAAAGUCACACUUGGAGCCAAAUUACAUAUUUUAGAUGAUUUGGUGGUUGUAAUGGCUGUCAUAGUAAGUACUAUGCUCUGGAUAAAAAAAGUAGAAGUCUAUGCUCCUAUGUAUGUUUUUUUCAAGAUGAAGUUCAUACAAUUAGUAUUUCAGUACUAAUUAUGUUUAUUAGAUAUGAUAUCAGGGUACCUGGCCAGCUCAGUUGGAAGAGCAUGAGACUCUUGAUCUCAGGGUUGUGAAUUAGAGCCCUACAUUGGGUGUAGAGAUUACUAAAAAAAAAUAAACUUUUUAAAAAAUAUAUGAUUAAAAUGAGUAAAAGAUAUGAAGUAAAGUGAGGCUUCCUUCCUCCCUUUUCCCUACCAAACAGUCACUCUUUCCAAAGGUAACCUCCUUCAACAAUCUCUUCUGUAUUUUUUUAAAGUUGUUCUGGACAAAGGACUCCAUAUAAACACUUUUUUCUUUUUUCUUUUUUUUAAAGAAAUGAUAUUCUAUACACAGUGUUUGUCCCUUUUUCACUUAAUAUAAUUUGGAGAUCCUAACAUAUGUCUAUACACGAAAAGCUCCCUCACUCUUUUCUAGGUCUGCAUGGUAUUUUUUAGACUGCACGUUGAUUCAUUUUUCCUAUAACAUUUAGGUUAUUUUCAGUAUUUUGGGGUUGUAAGCAAUGAUGUAAUAAAUAGCUGCACAGUUGUGUCAUUUCAAAUGUGAUAUUUGUACAGGAUGAUUUUUUAGAAUUAGAGCCGCUAGAUCGAAGUAUAUAUUCACUUUACAUUCUGGUUAGAUAUUGUCAAAAAUACUCCCGAAAGUUUGGCCAAUUUGCAAUUCCACUAGUACAAUGUAACUUUGUCAGCUGGGAGCUGGGAAAAGAGUUGUCUCCUUUAUUAUUUUUUUUUUGAGUUAUCGCCUUUAAAUUUAGUUUAGUUUUAUUUUCUCUUAAAAGUCAUCAUAAGGAAGAGCCUUUGCAGUUCCUUUUCUGGGAACUGGCUGUUGAUACCCUUUACCCUCUUUUCUAUUUCAUGGCUGUUGUUGAUCUUGAUUUGUACGAGCUCAUCAAAGAAUAGAUGCCUGGUUUUUUGUUUUUUGUUUUUUUUUUUUUUUUUUUGAGGUUUAUCAUUAGUCUGCUGACUUUGUUCAUGGUGGUGUUCAGCAUGCCAAAAAAAAUUUUUUUUAAUCUUUUAAGUUUUUAUGUAGUCAGAUGUAUAAAUCUUUUUUGUUUAUAGUUCCUUAGAUGUUGUGUGAUAGUCACUCAUUUAUUUAUUCCAAAUAUUUAUUGAGAUUGUACCA